GACGAACGCUGGCGGCGUGCCUAAUACAUGCAAGUUGAGCGCUGAAGGUUGGUACUUGUACCAACUGGAUGAGCAGCGAACGGGUGAGUAACGCGUGGGGAAUCUGCCUUUGAGCGGGGGACAACAUUUGGAAACGAAUGCUAAUACCGCAUAAAAACUUUAAACACAAGUUUUAAGUUUGAAAGAUGCAAUUGCAUCACUCAAAGAUGAUCCCGCGUUGUAUUAGCUAGUUGGUGAGGUAAAGGCUCACCAAGGCGAUGAUACAUAGCCGACCUGAGAGGGUGAUCGGCCACGUUGGGACUGAGACACGGCCCAAACUCCUGCGGGAGGCAGCAGUAGGGAAUCUUCGGCAAUGGACGAAAGUCUGACCGAGCAACGCCGCGUGAGUGAAGAAGGUUUUCGGAUCGUAAAACUCUGUUGGUAGAGAAGAACGUUGGUGAGAGUGGAAAGCUCAUCAAGUGACGGUAACUACCCAGAAAGGGACGGCUAACUACGUG
rnacentral:rRNA from 1 species